rnacentral:lncRNA from 1 species
CUUUGUCAGUGACAUCCACAGGCUCUUACUACCAUAUUCCUGUAUUUCUUCAAGAUUACAUUAGAAUUAUCAUCGAAAUAAAGAACUGAUAUGGCAUUUAGUUUGGUAGGUGCACAGCAUGGUUUGGGAACGUAAUCAGGAUUCAUAAGAUGAACCUGUUGUCGAAAAGAAAACAUAAUUGAUACGAUGGUAACUCACUCACAAACUCACCUAUGGCUUUAGCACAGGUCUUGCUGGAGACUUACUUACCAGAGUUUGGACGAUGGCGUGGUUGGUUGCGUUCAUAUGUGCAUUGAGUGGAAAGGAGCACUCCCCAUCACAGUAGUUGGCUGCAUAGCCCUUUGGAGCGAUUAUCCAGUCCUGCCAUCCCAAGUCUUGGAAGCUAACGUAAAGUUCAUGCUUUCUGCACGCGGUUUUUAAGUCACUGCUGUUGUAAUCUGUUAGGAUAAAAAAGAACAAAACAGGGAUUUAGAAAGUUAAAGAGGCAGAGGAUCACUGGAGCACACAGCUGGGCAGAUGUGCGCACUGCAGAGAAGAGUGCUGACGGACAGCCAAAGCAGGGCUGAGAUUUUUAAGAUACCUAUGGGAAUGGUGGCACCCGCGUAACAGUGACUGGCUUAGAACUCCUUCAACCUCCCUUAAAAACCCGACAAGCGGUGCUCGUAAAACACCUCUGCUUAAAUCAUUUCUUAAAAAUAAAUCUCUGCUCCAUCACCCAGCACGUGCCACAUCCCUGCUGCUGCUCGUGUUUCCAAUGCACGCUUCCCCAGGGUAC